rnacentral:rRNA from 1 species
UACGGGGGGAGCAAGCGUUGUUCGGAUUUACUGGGCGUAAAGGGCGCGUGGGCGGCCAGCACAAGUCAGUUGUGAAAUCUCCGAGCUUAACUCGGAAAGGUCAACUGAUACUGUGCGGCUAGAGUGCGGAAGGGGCAACUGGAAUUCUUGGUGUAGCGGUGAAAUGCGUAGAUAUCAAGAGGAACACCUGAGGUGAAGACGGGUUGCUGGGCUGACACUGACGCUGAGGCGCGAAAGCCAGGGGAGCAAACGGG